rnacentral:rRNA from 1 species
CANUAGUGAUNGGGNAUUUUNCNCNANGGGNGNAAGCCUGANGGAGCAAUACCGCGUGAGGGAGGAAGGCUUNUGGGUUUGNAACCUUUUUUUCUCAGGGAAUAAGAACUGAAGGUACCUGAGGAAUCAGCAUCGGCUAACUCCGUGCCCAGCAGCCGCGGUAAUACGGAGGAUGCAAGCGUUAUCCGGAAUGAUUGGGCGUAAAGCGUCCGCAGGUGGUUUAUCAAGUCUGCUGUCAAAGAGUUUGGCUCAACCAAAUAAAGGCAGUGGAAACUGACAGACUGGAGUGCGGUAAGGGCAGAGGGAAUUCCUGGUGUAGCGGUGAAAUGCGUAGAGAUCAGGAAGAACACCGGUGGCGAAAGCGCUCUGCUGGGCCGUAACUGACACUGAGGGACGAAAGCUAGGGGAGCGAAUGGGAUUAGANACCCCAGUAGUC